rnacentral:tRNA from 1 species
GGCAAGGUGGCCGAGCGGUCCAAGGCGCCACGUUAAGGUGUUUACAACCCUUAAUUUAAUAUCCGUGGUCUCGAAAGGGGCGUGAGUUCGAAUCUCACCCUUGUCA